AUUACGUGUUGAACAUGCAUGCAUUGCAUUGUGUUGUGUUGUGUGAAAGUUGAAACCUUCCCCAAAUACAACUUCGUCAUCUCCAACAACACUUAAAGUUUCUGCAUUAUUUUCAGUAUUGAAUUGCCAUGCACACAUUACACAGUCACCUUCAACCCUCCCCACAUAUCACCUACACUUUCUUACCUUCCUUAUCCCUUCGUGAACCUCAAACCUUAAUUAUCACUCUUUCCAAACACAAAUCUUAUAACCAACAAAACAAAACACAAUUUAUGUUC
rnacentral:lncRNA from 1 species